rnacentral:rRNA from 1 species
GAUGAACGCUGGCGGCGUGCCUAAUACAUGCCAGUCGAGCGAACAGAUGAGGAGCUUGCUCCUCUGACGUUAGCGGCGGACGGGUGAGUAACACGUGGAUAACCUACCUAUAAGACUGGGAUAACUUCGGGAAACCGGAGCUAAUACCGGAUAAUAUAUUGAACCGCAUGGUUCAAUAGUGAAAGACGGUUUUGCUGUCACUUAUAGAUGGAUCCGCGCCGCAUUAGCUAGUUGGUAAGGUAACGGCUUACCAAGGCAACGAUGCGUAGCCAACCUGAGAGGGGGAUCGGCCCCCCUGGAAAUGAGACACGGUCCAGACCCCGAAGGGGGGCAGAAGGAGGGAAGCUUCCCCAAGGGGGGAAAGCAUGACGGAGCCACGCCGGGGGGGUGAUGAAGGGCUUCGGAUGGAAAAACCUUGUUAUUGGGGAAGAAAAAAUGUGGAAGUAACUAUGCACGUCUGGAGGGUACCGAAGAAGAAAGCCACGGCUAAAUAAGG